rnacentral:rRNA from 1 species
GGGGGAGAGCCCCGUCGGUUGGAUGCCUAGCGUCUGUGAAACUCAGUCGCGAGUUGAGUGGUUUGGGAAUGCUGCUCUAAAUGGGAGGUAUACGUUUUCUAAAGUUAAAUACCGGCCAGAGACCGCUAGCGCCCAAGUAGAGUGAUCGAAAGAUGAAAAGCACUUGGAAAAGAGGCUUAAAAAGUACGUGAAAUUGGUGAAAGGGAAGCGUUCAUGACCAGACUUGGGCAGGUUGAUCAUCUGUGGUUCUCCGCGGUGCACUCUGCCUGCCCAGGCCAGCAUCAGUUCGCCCCGGGGGAUAAAGGCUUUGGGAAUGUGGCUCUUAUGGGAGA